ensembl:lncRNA
UCUAACUUUAUGUUUGAAGCAAAUGGUGCCUUAGCUUUAUCUUUCUUUGUCAAAUAGUAUGCAUCAGUAAUCUUUAUGAAUGGUCCAUUAUUAGAUAUGAACAAUGCCUGGGACCCAAGGCCUUCCCUAGUAAUGAGUGUCAAAAAGAUGUAAUGUCAUCAGGUCCACGUUGAGAAGUUUUGUUCUCCUAAUAAUUUGUGCCUUCAUGGUGUAACUGGCUGAGUUGUUCCUCACUGGUAUAUUCUAUUCAGAUGUGCCAUUCUUUGGAACCAUCUCAGGAUUCCAGAUCUUUUUGCUAUACACCUGAUCUACUGAGUGCCAGAUGCUCUGUUAGGUCCUCCAGGGAUAUGAUGGCCACCCAUUUGUCCCAAGAACGUAUGCACUCAUUUAUGAUUUUGGCAUCAGGAUCAUUUCCCUCAACGAUGGUGAAUCUUUUAACAUUCCAGAAUUCAUUCAGCCAAGAGAAUGGAAGACAAUCACUUGACCUAAUUGUAAAGUUUUUGCCACUGUUUGGUGUAGGGAUUACAGAAAAUAUGGGCAUCUAACUAUAUAAGCCUUCAACUCUGAUUUUUUUUUGGUCCAUCUGACACUAAAAAUAUCCGAUUAUUUUGGGUUUUAGCCAACAUAUGAAAUAAAUAUGUAUCAACCUAUCA